AGAGCCUGUUAACCCAAUGGUUUUUGGGGUUGCAGCAGGAACUCUGGGGGUCUUUCUGCUUAUCAGCCUGAUCAGUCUUUUUGGAUGGAGGAGAAACUCUAGGCUCCCCGAUGGACUUGAAAGGACGGACAAUCCACAGGGACAGAACUCCCCGGUUGGGACGGUGUGUGUUAACCAGACCACAGCCGGAGAGAAACCAGAG